rnacentral:rRNA from 1 species
GCGAACGCUGGCGGCAGGCCUAACACAUGCAAGUCGAGCGGCCCUUCGGGGCAGCGGCGGACGGGUGAGUAACGCGUGGGAACGUGCCCUUUGGUACGGAACAACUGAGGGAAACUUCAGCUAAUACCGUAUGUGUCCUACGGGGGAAAGAUUUAUCGCCAUUGGAGCGGCCCGCGUUAGAUUAGCUAGUUGGUAGGGUAAUGGCCUACCAAGGCGACGAUCUAUAGCUGGUCUGAGAGGAUGAUCAGCCACACUGGGACUGAGACACGGCCCAGACUCCUACGGGAGGCAGCAGUGGGGAAUCUUGCGCAAUGGGCGAAAGCCUGACGCAGCCAUGCCGCGUGAAUGAUGAAGGUCUUAGGAUUGUAAAAUUCUUUCACCGGGGACGAUAAUGACGGUACCCGGAGAAGAAGCCCCGGCUAACUUCGUGCCAGCCGCCGCAGUAACAC